CCUACGGGAGGCAGCAGUGGGGGAAUAUUGGUCAAUGGGCGCGAGCCUGAACCAGCCAAGUCGCGUGAGGGAUGAAGGUUCUAUGGAUCGUAAACCUCUUUUAUAAGGGAAUAAAGUGUGGGACGUGUCCUAUUUUGUAUGUACCUUAUGAAUAAGGAUCGGCUAACUCCGUGCCAGCAGCCGCGGUAAUACGGAGGAUCCGAGCGUUAUCCGGAUUUAUUGGGUUUAAAGGGUGCGUAGGCGGCCUUUUAAGUCAGCGGUGAAAGUCUGUGGCUCAACCAUAGAAUGGCCUUGGAAACUGGGGGGCUUGAGUAUGUUUGAGGCAGGCGGAAUGCGUGGUGUAGCGGUGAAAUGCUUAGAGAUCACGCAGAACCCCGAUUGCGAAGGCAGCCUGCCAAGCCAUGACUGACGCUGAUGCACGAAAGCGUGGGGAUCAAACAGGAUUAGAUACCCCAGUAGUC
rnacentral:rRNA from 1 species